CUCAGCCAGACCUCAGCUCUCGGGACACCGCUCGCCCCCUACCAUGAGGCUGCUGUCUCUCUGCUCCCUCCGACCAGCACAGCAGAGGCUCACUCAGGAAUUCCUUCAUUCAUUCACUCAUCCAACCAGUAUUUUUGUUCUCAGCAUCCAUUAAAUGCCAAUCUGUCCCUGCCCCUGGGAGAGUAUGUUUUCACCGGGAGUCAUGACAAACAGGAAGUGAACAAAUAUAACCUCAGGCAUGCUGAGUGCCACCCGAGAAGACAGAGCGGAGGAAGAAGAGAGCAGGCGUGGGAGCAGCACCGUGGGGCCCGGCUCCACUGGGGACGCGUGCUCUGGGCGGAGUCCCGAGGCAGAACAGCAGGCAUGAGCACAGGACAGCAAGAUGGCUCAGUGGUGGCCGGGGCAGCAGGAGAGGGUGAGGAGACCCCCGAGGGUCAGCCCCGCACAAGGCCGUGGUGGAGAGGCGAGGACGCGGCCCCGCUCUGGGCAGGUCCCCAGUACAGGUGUCGAGGAGACUGCAACGAAAAAGUGAGUACUGCCUUGUUCAUGCCGACCAGCGCCUGGGGGUGUUUUCUGCGUUUCUGGGGGUGUGCUCUCCCUUUGCACUUCCUACCUGAGGUGCCCUGGUCCAUCCUUCCUGCAGCAGUUGUCAUUCCCAUCUCAGCUCCUGGUUAGUGGCGCUGCCUUCAUGCCAGCCCUGAGGGCAGGCUUCCAUCCCAUGCCCUCCCAGGAGAGCUGCCUCCCCCAGCAGACUGCGGCAAACGGCAGGAAGGAAACGGGCUCCAGCCCCAGCAGUGCCACCUGGCCAUCCACACACAUCCCAGGAUGUUCCCCUCCGUCCCCAUCCAGAAAACCUGACACCCAGGGGCCUGGGCCUCCCACUCCCACAUGGCAGCCUCCCCCGGCCCUGAUGGCACCUUCCCAGCCAGAGGAGCCACUGGAUUUGUGACUCCUGCCAGCCACCAUGGAAACACAAACUGAUGAUCACUGCCUUCGAUGCCAUCUGCUUUUAGAAUUUUGGAAAGGGACAGAUUGAACUCUGCACAUUGCCGGUCUCAAAAUCAGUCCAGGGCCAUUCGUGAAAUUCAUUUUGAUUUGCUCGGUAACCUGCAGGUGACCGUCUGAGCUUCCAAGGUUCAGUCUCCUGUGCCAGAGCUCGGAUCACACAAAACAUUGACCUUGUGCCUGAAGUCUUUCCCCCACAGAGGGAGAGGAGAGUCUGCGAGGGGCCUGCAGUGGCCUCUCUGGACAUGAGGAUGUGACAUAUUGCAUGUCAGCACUCUGCGAGUUCCCCUGAGCUACAGGUGCACACCCAGCGGGUGGAUGUGGCUGUGAGGUCUGGAGAGUCCCUGAGGGUGAUCCCCUUGCUUACGCUGGCCCAAAGUUGGACUGGCAAAAGCCAGUAAAGGGGCUCCUUAAAUCUCACAUUUAAUAAAGAAACCUCAGUGUUUACACCAGUGAAAAGCAUUUGUAACUAAACUGUAGAAACU